GCCGUUGUAGACCAAGGUCGGUCGCCCUCUUUCUGUGAGCAGUUGGCUCUCAAAUUUGUCAGAGGGACGUGGCGGUUCAAAUCCGCCCGAUGGCA